CCACUCUCUCCCCCUAGCAACCGCUCACUCUCCCCCCCUCAUCUCCCCAGCGAUGGCGUCCAUCGAUCUCCCCUUCCUCUCCCCACCGUGCCGACCGCCUCCUCCUCUCCUCCUUCCUAAACACGCGCCACCAGCAGAUCAACAUCUCACGCCGCCGGCCCUGUCCCAUUCCACCCUCGGCUGCCACCUUCCCCACCCCGAGCUUGGGUCUAGCCACCCACCGUCUUCCCUGUACCCAGCUGCCCUCAUCAGCUCCGGUCUCGUCCGCGACGUGCUGCUCCAACCAUUGGUACGCGGUAGUGGGGGUUCGGUCCAGGAGGCGGCUGCUGCAGUCCUGAUGGCGCCGCCUCUGCGGUGGCUCCAUUCCGGCGGCAUCAGGGGAGCACACGAGUGUCCACGAGCAGCAAGCAGAGACGGCCAAGGAAGCAAGGACGCGGGCAAAUGAUGCAGCAGCGCCGUCCUUGAGGAGAUGCCGCCCGUGGAUACAACAGCCAUGGGCGUGGAAGAUGAUUUUGGAUCCUGUGAGCCGACGCCGCUGCCGCACAGGUAGUCAACGAUGGCGUGCUGUUGUUCCAUGUCCAAGAAGUCGCCCAUGAGGCGUCGUCGUGGCAUUGCCAGCUCCAGCUUGCCCCUGCCAUCGUCUCUGCCGUCGGCACUUGCACGCACGCUCCUUGGGGGGAGGAGGGAGGGGGAGAAGGGAUGGCAGAGGAGGUUUUAAGCCCAAGAAGAGUUCACACCUUCUUAUUCUAAUCUUUUUUACUCCUAAUAAAACAAGGAGAGACGCUACAAGCAUUUCUGCUCAGAGAAAGGGCGGUGCAGACCUGAUUUAUAUGUGUAUGAUGAGGACAUGACUACCUUGGAUAAGACAAAAAUAUUGCAUACAUGCAUAUUUGUCAGGUGAUUUCUAGUACAAACUAUUCAAUAAUCUAUUUAUGUUAUCCAGAACAAAAAUACUUCACACACUUUUGUGUUUUGUCUAAUUGCAGGUGUAUGGGACAUUUGUACAAUCCACAUAUGAAGAUAAGGCAAAAUGAGAAGUUUGGGUUUUGUUCAAAAUGUCCUCUCACGUCACUUUUGGCCAAAGAAAAGAUAGAGUCCAAGUCUCUCACGUUCUGGAUUCAGAUUCGGACUGCGCAGACAUACCUGACUCAAAACGCCAACAAUUUUUUCAUAAAGACUCCAAAUUGGGAAUAGACCUUCGUGGUCAGGUUGAUCGUGCUCCGGCGUGGGCAAUAACCUCUCGGAGUUGGUUUAGCGACUGCUAAGGCGCGACGUCCUCGCACGUUCGUAGUCGGAUUGUCAAAGUCGUCUCCACCAAAUCAAUAGUAAUCAUCUCAUCGAAAGAUCGGGACACCCCGCCUCUAUCAAGUGGUAUCAGUUUUCAGGUUGCUCGGUCAAAUUUGCCUCCUUAUAAGCUGAUUGUGACAUAUGGGGCGCGCUCUUACAAGAAUUACAAGGCUGAACUGUGCACCGUGUCUUCUUGGAGCUGGGAUAUCCAUGUAGAGAGGCAGACUACUUACAAUCAACUUUUGGGUCUCCUGCAAAAUAAAUAUCCUUGGGGAAAUGAUGAGGGUGUUGUGCUUUCAAGCUGGAAUAGUAGCAGGAAAUAUUUUGUGCUAGUUCGCAACGAUGAAGAUGUGGUGAACAUGUAUGAUGGCAAUGAGGAAGACAAGAUUGUUAAGAUACUUGUCCAGUUCUGCAGGAAUGGCGAGGAGGAGGAGUUUGCUCACAGUUUGCUUCAACCAAUCCCACCUUCUUCUGCGGCAAAGGAAAUGUGCAAGCCCAUAGUGGAUGAUUUAAAUCAAAAUUCUCACUAUGAGUAUGAGAUACCCGAGGAGAACUUGACAAGCCAACAGAGAUCUAAAGAGGGCUAUGAAGGCUAUGAAGGAGAGGAUCAUGUAGGAAUAGAUGAGGAGAACCAGUACCUGAAGGCUUAGUCAUAUGCACAGAUGUGUGCAAAGGGUUGGAAACAGCAGUGCAUACAGUAUUCCCAACUGCUGAACAUAGGGAAUGCUUUAGGCAUAUGAUAAUGAACUUCAGAAAGAAAUUCCAUGGCAAGGUUUUUGAAGAAAAUCUAUGGCCAGCCGCAUACACAUAUUCUCAUGCCAAGCACAAUCACCACAUGAAGAAAAUUAUGGAAGCCAGCCCAGCAGCCAUCGCAUACCUUGAUGAAUGGCAUUCUAAUUUGUGGAGUAGAAGUAAGUUCUCUACAACAUGCAAAUGUGAUUAUGAAAGGAUAAAGGAUAAAGUCAGCCCUUGAGAGUGUGUCCAAGAGAAAACACAAGUGCAAAGAAUGCAAAGAACUUGGGCAUAUGAUGAAGACAUGUCCUCUACUUUAUCCUAAAGGCAAGCCAAGAAAUAGGAAAAGGAAAAAUGUUGAACCACAAGACAUAGAAGACAUAGAAGCCAAUGCCAUAGACGCUGAAACUACUAGUGCUACAAAGAAGAAAACAGGAGGUGGUAGAAGGGCAAAGUCUAGCUCAAAAAGUAUGCUACAAACCACUGUUGUAAGCUCUCCACAUCCUGAAGCAUCUAAGAUGACAUGUGCUACACAUCAGUGGCGGAGGACGAAAAAAAAUUAAGGUGGGGCGAACUCUAAAGCCCAAUAAAUGAUGUGAUGCAAUAUCAAAAAUAGCUUUUACA